CCCACAUCAAACAGUUAGGCCUUCCAUAGAAUACAAUUAGCACAGUAAAAAAAAUAUAUUUAUUGAUUCUUUAAGUUCUAAGGAAUGAACUCCCUAUUUGCAUUUAGUAGAUGGAUGACCGGAAGUGGUUUACACUUAGAGUAACGGAUGUAUUUGAUGUACCCCAGUGACGUCAUUUGGAAGUUUAAAGUUGUGCCAUGUUUAUUGGGACAAUCAAGCCCAGGGUUACUUAUUAAUGCGAGAAUUCAAAGUGAAUUUAAAAUCUAAGGCAGAGUAGCCAAACGAAAAGUAUUGCUAAUUUACAGAAUUUUUCCAGUUCAGCUAUUUUGACCUUAAAUUUAAAAUUCACCUUGAAUUCUCCCUAUUGUAAAU